rnacentral:rRNA from 1 species
CCUACGGGUGGCUGCAGUGAGGAAUAUUGGUCAAUGGGCGUAAGCCUGAACCAGCCAUCCCGCGUGAAGGAAGAAGGCGCUAUGCGUCGUAAACUUCUUUUCCAGAGGAAUAAAAUUUCGUACGUGUACGGAACUGAAGGUACUUUGGGAAUAAGCAUCGGCUAACUCCGUGCCAGCAGCCGCGGUAAUACGGAGGAUGCGAGCGUUAUCCGGAUUUAUUGGGUUUAAAGCGUAUUAAGGCGGAUUAAUAGAAAACCUUCAGCUUAACUGGAGAACUGCCAUUGAUACUGUUAGUCUUGAGUACGGUCAAGGUAGGCGGAAUGUGUAAUGUAGCGGUGAAAUGCUUAGAUAUUACACAGAACACCGAUUGCGAAGGCAGCUUACUGGGCCAUUACUGACGCUGAUGCACGAAAGCGUGGGGAGCGAACAGGAUUAGAUACCCUUGUAGUC